CUCUUUUUUUCACCUAAUGGAAUUGAUCCCGAAAUAUUGUAAAACAGCGAAAUUAUUUCAUCUGUAAUAUCAAGCAGCAAUAUUGUACUUUCCAAUUAUGAUAUUGAUCUACUUUGCGUUUUGUCAUCCGUCGAUUAAAGUUUUUCAUACGUAGGUAUUCGAUGGCAAUUACAAAUUUCCGAGCGCGAAUGAUUUUCAAAAAACAGAAUGUAUUUCUAUAUGACAUUAUUCGAUUUGCGUGAUUAAUAGAUUGUCGAAACCUUUUUUAUUUCAACGAUGUAAUUCAACGCUGAGCUUGAUUGUACACGCAUAUGUACGAAUUGAUCACCGAACAAGGUCGGCAUACCCUUGUUUAGCUGUGUACCUACCACAUAUACCUAUGCAUAUACAAUUUAUAUGUAUGAAAAAAUAUACCAGCGAGACACGAAAACACGUAUAAUAACAAACACCUAAUUGACUUACUAUACACCUACUAAUUAAGCGCAUGUACUCGCUAAAAAAAAAAAUAUAUAUAUACAUAUAUAUACAUACAUACAUAUAUUAUACAUAUGAUUACCGCCGCCUGAAUAAAAUUGAAAUUAAAACAGAGCUGCAUGAAUAAAAAACGAAAAGAAUAAAAAUUUUCAAUCAACAAACAUUCGUUGCAACGCGACACGCACCGAAAUCAUAUUGUAGUUAGAUUACUUUAAUUGUUCAUUGUUGUAGAUUUUUUAUAAAGAGGAGUUGAAAAAAAAGGACGAGAAUCAGGAGUGCGAAGUGAAGUGAAAUAAGAAAAUAAAGUGAAACGAAAUUCUGGAACGGAGUGCUUUUCAUUUUUUAGCGAGUCGAAUUCGAGCCAUGGACGUGCGGCGGAAGGAAAGGAGAACAGAAAGUAGGAUCUAAGCCGUGAACCUUGCAAGAAGUGUGUGCGUUGUCGUUCUGCCACGUCCCUCCUUGCCCGGCGCACGUCCUUAGAAUAGUAAGUCAGACCUACGCAAGCAGGGAAUUCAUUCAGAAUAAUAGGAAGAGCAGCGUAUAGGGAAAGAG